rnacentral:rRNA from 1 species
CGCCUAUUAGCUAGCCCCCACUUAAACAAACAACAAACUAUCAUAAAUAACCCCAAAAUCACGCAUUCUCCUAAAACAAACCAUUUUUAUCACCUGAGUAUGGGCGACAGAAAAGGACUCUGUGGAGCGAUAGAAAAAGUACCGCAAGGGAACGCUGAAAUAGAGAUGAAACAGCCCAGUAAAGCCCUAAAAAGCAGAGAUUAGACCUCGUACCUUUUGCAUCAUGACUUAGCUAGUACCCCCAAGCAAAGAGUACCUUUAGUUUGAUACCCCGAAACUAACGUGAGCUACUCCAAGACAGCCUGUUUACAGGGCAAACCCGUCUCUGUGGCAAAAGAGUGGGAAGAGCUUUGAGUAGAGGUGACAGACCUACCGAACUUAGUUAUAGCUGGUUGCCUGAGAACUGGAUAGAAGUUCAGCCUCCCGGCUUCUCCAUUCAUACAUUAUUCUAAAUGAUUACCCCUAGAUGAAAAGAAACCGCGAGAGUUACUCAAAGGAGGUACAGCUCCUUUGAACCAAGAUACAACUUUCUAAGGAGGGUAAAGAUCAUAAUCUAACAAGGCAAAAUGUUCCGGUGGGCCUAAGAGCAGCCACCCCCAUAGAAAGCGUUAAAGCUCAGACAUACCCUUUCGCCCCAUAUUCCGAUAACCCAAUCUUAGCCCCCUAAUCCUAUCAGGCCGCCCCAUGCAAACAUGGGAGCGACCAUGCUAACAUGAGUAAUAAGAGGAUGGCCUACGCCCCUCUCCUAGCACACGUGUACAUCGAAACGGACCCGCCACCGAAACUUAACGGCCCCAAACAAAGAGGGAAUUGAAAAACAAACACAACAUACUAGAAAACCACCCAACACAUAACCGUUAACCCCACACUGGUGUGCUCGAAGGAAAGACUAAAAGAAAAAGAAGGAACUCGGCAAACAUAAGCCUCGCCUGUUUACCAAAAACAUCGCCUCUUGUACAACCCACACAAAUAAGAGGUCCCGCCUGCCCAGUGACAACUGGUUCAACGGCCGCGGUAUUUUGACCGUGCGAAGGUAGCGUAAUCACUUGUCUUUUAAAUGAAGACCUGUAUGAAUGGCAUGACGAGGGCUUAACUGUCUCCUUUUUCAAGUCAAUGAAAUUGAUCUCCCCGUGCAGAAGCGGGGAUAAAAACAUAAGACGAGAAGACCCUAUGGAGCUUUAGACACCAGGAUAGCUCAUGUUAAGACACCCUGAAUAAAGGACUGAACUUAUUGACCACCUACUCCAAUGUCUUCGGUUGGGGCAACUAUGAGGAACAAAAACCCCUCACGUGGAAUGGGAGCACUACAACCCACUAUUAUUUUCUUCCCCUCCUGCAACUAAGAGCCACAGCUCUACCUAACAGAAAUUCUGGCCAACAAUGAUCCGGCAAUGCUGAUCAACGGACCAAGUUACCCUAGGGAUAACAGCGCAAUCCCCUUUUAGAGCCCAUAUCGACAAGGGGGUUUACGACCUCGAUGUUGGAUCAGGACAUCCUAAUGGUGCAGCCGCUAUUAAGGGUUCGUUUGUUCAACGAUUAAAGUCCUACGUGAUCUGAGUUCAGACCGGAGUAAUCCAGGUCAGUUUCUAUCUAUGCCCACGUUCUUUUUUAGUACGAAAGGACCGAAAAGAAAAGGCCCAUGCCACAAGUAUGCCUUAUCCCCACCCAAUGAAAACAACUAAACUGGAUAAAGGGACGUGCCAUAAUUAUGUCAGAGAGAAUGACAU